GUGGGGAAUCUUAGACAAUGGGCGCAAGCCUGAUCUAGCCAUGCCGCGUGAGCGAUGAAGGCCUUAGGGUUGUAAAGCUCUUUCGUGGGGGAAGAUAAUGACUGUACCCCAAGAAGAAGCCCCGGCUAACUCCGUGCCAGCAGCCGCGGUAAUACGGAGGGGGCUAGCGUUGUUCGGAAUUACUGGGCGUAAAGCACACGUAGGCGGACUGGAAAGUCAGGGGUGAAAUCCCGGGGCUCAACCCCGGAACUGCCUUUGAAACUCCCAGUCUUGAGGUCGAGAGAGGUGGGUGGAAUUCCGAGUGUAGAGGUGAAAUUCGUAGAUAUUCGGAGGAACACCAGUGGCGAAGGCGGCCCACUGGCUCGAUACUGACGCUGAGGUGCGAAAGCGUGGGGAGCAAACAGGAUUAGAUACCCUAGUAGUCC
rnacentral:rRNA from 1 species